rnacentral:rRNA from 1 species
GGUUCAAGUUACUAAGGGCGCAUGUGAGGAUGCCUUGGCAUCCAGAGGCGAUGAAGGGCGUGGUAGGCUGCGAUAAGCGUCGGUGAGGAGCGAACAUCCUUUGACCCGGCGAUUCCCGAAUGGGGAAACCCAUCCUGAUGAAAAUCAGGAUAUUCCGUCUCAUUGGGACGGAAGGCAAACCAGGGGAAGUGAAACAUCUCAGUACCCUGAGGAAAAGAUAUUCCGAAAGUAGCGGCGAGCGAAAUCGGAAAAGCCCAAACCGAACUGCAUGUUAAAGCGGACAGGCGUUGUGCAGUCGGUGUUGCGAGGUCCAGCCGAAUCCAAUCUGUCCUGAGGGUUGUGAAGUUACAAAACCUCAGAAUAGCCGAAUCUUCCUGGAAAGGAGAGCCAUAGAUGGUGACAGCCCAGUAGGCGAAAUCUUGGAGGUCUUCACUGGCUGGAUUCUCAAGUAGCACGGGAUAGGUUAUCCUGUGUGAAUCUGCCCAAACCACUGGGUAAGGCUAAAUACUCCUGGAUGACCGAUAGUGCACCAGUACCGUGAGGGAAAGGUGAAAAGAACCCCUGGCGGGGAGUGAAAUAGAACCUGAAACCAUGCGCCUACAAUCAGCAGGAGUUUGACCUCUACCUGAGCAAUCGGGUAGAUGUGUUGAAUGACUGCGUGCCUUUUGCAUAAUGAGCCGGCGAGUUGUCCUAACCUGCAAGCUUAAUCCUGCUAUGAAAGUAGCAGGUGAAGGCGUAGGGAAACCGAGUCCAAAUAGGGCGAAUUAGUAGGUUGGGGCAUUACCCGAAACCCGGUGAGCUACCCAUGGUCAGGGUGAAAUUCCGGUGACACGGAAUGGAGGCCCGAACCGGUGGAUGUUGAAAUAUCCUCGGAUGAACUGUGGGU